GACGAACGCUGGCGGCGUGCUUAACACAUGCAAGUCGAACGGAAAGGCCCUGCUUUUGUGGGGUGCUCGAGUGGCGAACGGGUGAGUAACACGUGAGUAACCUGCCCUUGACUUUGGGAUAACUUCAGGGAACUGGGGCUAAUACCGGAUAGGAGCUCCUGCUGCAUGGUGGGGGUUGGAAAGUUUCGGCGGUUGGGGAUGGACUCGCGGCUUAUCAGCUUGUUGGUGGGGUAGUGGCUUACCAAGGCUUUGACGGGUAGCCGGCCUGAGAGGGUGACCGGCCACAUUGGGACUGAGAUACGGCCCAGACUCCUACGGGAGGCAGCAGUGGGGAAUAUUGCACAAUGGGCGGAAGCCUGAUGCAGCAACGCCGCGUGCGGGAUGACGGCCGUAGGGUUGUAAACCGCUUUCGCCUGUGACGAAGCGUGAGUGACGGUAAUGGGUAAAGAAGCACCGGCUAACUACGUG
rnacentral:rRNA from 1 species